AGUUUGGGGGUGGGAAGGCCGGGCGCCCUCCCUUCCCCCGGGGCCCAGGACCCGCCCAAGACUCGCCCUUCCCUAGGCCUUCCUGGGUCCCUGCGGCCGGGGGGGCUCCCCGUCCUGCGCCCACACCUGGAAAAGGGUUCAGCCAAAGUCUAAGGACAGACACACAGCCGCCACCAGCCCACCCAGGAAGUAGCAAUGUGAAACUUCAAAACAACAACAGAAAGAAGGAGAGGAACAUGUUGUACCUAGGGGCUAACCUUAAGUGGGCACUUCUCUGCCAGCCUCUGGGAUGCUGCGGAGAAAACGCAUAGCUUGGAGAGGACCUCUCCUGCCCAGGGCCAGCGCGUGACCCGGCCUAGGCCCUGCGAGCCCAGCUGCUGUCUGCACGAGGCAGAGUGAACCGGAGGAAAACUGUUGCCACUGCAAAGGGCGCCGGUGUGCUCAGCCCACGGGACCCCGGUGCGCGCGCUCUUCUUACCCCGGGACAGUCAGCUGCGGCCGGGAGAAGUCCGUGCACACGGCCGGCGGCAUGCGCGCAGCCACGUGGGUGCGGUCUCAACACGAACGGAUUCUGAGUCAGUGGAGCUGGAAAAUGGCAAGAUGUUGUAGUCUCCAGACGGCUCUGCUUUUUAUGUGGAUCACAUGAUUCUCCGGACUGGACGCGAAGUCCAGGGAACAAGUUGGAUUUUUGUAUAUUCACAGAAAAGACGUCUGAUGCGCCCCCUCCCUCCCUCCUUCCCACCCCGCUGUUACCACCGUUGGUGUUAGAAUACGGAAAGAAGGAAGGUUUUUUUAUACCCCCUUGACUUUGGGCUUUGUUUUUCUGUUUGUUUGGUUUUUUUUCUUUCUCAGGUUUCAUUUGCUUCAUAAUCUAGAAAACUAAUAAACAUUUUUAAGAAAAGAGUA